rnacentral:tRNA from 1 species
GGUGGGGUUCCCGAGCGGCCAAAGGGAGCAGACUGUAAAUCUGCCGUCAUCGACUUCGAAGGUUCGAAUCCUUCCCCCAGCACCA